GUAGAGAUACAUAUGCUAGGAUUUUGAUAGGGAAAAAAUCCUUUAGAGCUCUUUGGUUUGUAGGAAUGGAAUCCUAUUCUUAUUGAGGAAUUCUUCCUAUCCUCCACAUUUCAUAAGAAAAUAAACAUUAGCCUAUACUAAAUGGAGAAAAUCAUAUGGUGUGAAUCAAAGUGCAUCCCAUUUCCUUUUCAGAGGAUUUGAGACACAUGUCAUUUCAUUUGCUAUGACUUUCAUAUUCUUAUGAAUUUCACACCCUAUGAACCGAAGGAGGCCUUAAAGGUCAAUAUGAGUUUCUUUUUCCCACUCACACUCCUCAUGAGCCCGUGUAAAAUAUUGGUUUGUUCCGUGGUGUGGUGGAAUACACCGGUAUGGGUUUUAAAUACGCAAUUUGCUUGGCUUCCAAGUGAGGCCUAAAUCUUCUACACCGCUCGUUCUGUGUGUGUUCGCGCAUGCACGUUACUUGAUCAAAUGUUUACAGAUGCAACAAUUUGUUAGCUUUAGCAUUCCCACAAGGUUCAUUCUCUUGUUUGAUUUCUUCAUGCACUCUUAUGAGCACUGGCUAAUUUUAUUGAAGAUGUGUUGGGUUUUUACCCCGCCCUUGCCAUUGACAUUUCUGUGAAGCUAUUUGUUAUAUUUAUUCGAGAUGGUAAAAGGCUUUCCUAUGAAUGAAAUAUACUUAGGACGGUGAUGCAUCUUCCAUAUUCAGUUAGUCUUACGCAUGGGUAAAGAAAUCAAGAGACCAAUCACCAAACUAGCAUAAAUAAAAGAACUGAAUUCUCUUGCCAAAUAUUAAUGUAGUUGUCAAUACUAAAAACUUCCAAAGGACAUUCGAGUGUUGUGGUUUUGUGGAUCUUGUUGACUGGUUAUAAUAGACCUGCAACUGCCUCAAAUGGAAUAUGUUGCUAACAAUUUUUUCAAAUAUUUUUUGUUUUGCUUUCUGCUUCUUAUACCUACUAACUUACAUCAACCCAUACACCUAAACACCUAGCUCCCUGAUGGUCACAGAUGAACCCCUAAUUUCUCUCAUGACAUCCACAUCAUGUUUGAUACUUGGAGCACCAACUUCUCAGAGGCUCCUUUGUUACAUGUUGAGUUCCAGCACAUCCCCUGCUAUCUCUGUCCACAUUCCCCCACCUUAGCCUUAAUACAAUAACGAGGACGAUCACUAGCAAUACGAUAUACUCCAUAUAGCUCAGUGAUAGGUGUAAGAUAUGAACGUAUGAACACUCUGCUGGUCUUCCCAUGACAUUCCCAUCACUCAAUUAUCCUUUAUCUCAAUACAACUUUUACCGUCCCCUUGCAACAGACAUGGAGAUUUUUUGGAUGAUCCAGUGAGCCCAGCUCAAGAUGUGAAGUAGAUAUAUUACAUGUUCAUCUUCUUCUACAAUUAAUUCUAUCGACUUCAAUUCUUUGCAGAAGCAUACAAAGAGCGGAUACAAUAAAAAUACCACGGUCAUCGAUUCAUGAGUAGAUACAAUCCUAGAGGGAUUGAUAAUUUUUCUAUCCACCUUCUUUAGAACAAUCUGUAUGAAAACAUUUUCAACGACGUGAUGCUUUACAAUAUGUAUUGAUGAUAGCCAAAGUAAAUUGUGAUAUACUUCCACAUGUUUUUAUUUGAGAUGAAGUUACACAUUAAAGGUACAACUAUUGGUAGUUUAUGUGUGGGACAUGUAUGUAAUAAAAUCUAGGAAAGCGAAAUGUACAUACUAUGCCGAUAUACAUUAGAUGCACAAUAUAAACAAGAAUUUCACAAGCAUGUCUAGCAUAAUAAUAGGUCAAUGCGGCUUCAUGCAGAAGUCUCCACAUAGUAUACUUGUGCUAUAUUUUCCUUAAUAUGAAUAUAUAUUCUGGUGUUACCAUACAAGGCGAGGAUCAAGUUGAUUGGGAUGUUGUUUUUAGAAGUUACAUGUGUAGCUGCCUAGGAGAAGGGAACUUGUAUAACUAUCUUCAAGGUGUGUUCAUGGUCCCACGAGUUCAAACUUCAGACUGGUGAUCCUGAAUCCUUGAAAAAGUGAUGAUUGCCCCAACAAUUACCUUGAAUUUGACAUCCUUGGGACUGCAGUUUGUGCCAAAGUUGCUACAUGUCUCGGGGAUGAUGAAGCUAAUGCUAGCAACCACAUGGUCUGACUGGUAUGUAUUUUAAGAAAGCAUUAUACAUAUGCUACGUGUAGGAUAAGAUUACUUAGUUGAUACAAGAUUCUGAAAUUUGACAAAAGUAACGUUGUACCACAACAAAUUGGUCUCUACCUACAAAAUUUCAACUACUAUUUAAGUAAUCUAGUUUCUUUCCCUUUCCAGGAGGAUCAUAACCAUAACUGGAAGUGCAAAGGGACAAAUAAAUUUGUUCACAUGCAUAUCACUUAUAUUACAUAAACAUUUAAUUCAUGCAAGGUCUAAGGUAUGUUACUAAAGCAGGUCACAUUUUGUUAGAAAGAUUGCUCAAACGGUGAUUCUCAACCAACAUGAAA
rnacentral:lncRNA from 1 species